GCCGGAUGUGGUGGCGCACGCCUGUAAUCCCAGCUACUCAGGAGGCUGAGGCAGGAGAAUCGCUUGAACCCAGGAGGUGGAGUUUGCAGUGAGCCGAGAUUGUGCCAUUGCAUUCCAGCCUGGGUGACAGAACGAGACUCUGUCUCAA
rnacentral:SRP_RNA from 1 species